rnacentral:RNase_P_RNA from 1 species
GAAGUAUUUCAUCCAGUCGCUGUCGGCCCAAUGCCGAUGGAGGAAAGUCCGGGCUCCGCAGGGCAGGGUGCAGGAGAAACUCCUGUGGGUGCGAACUCAAGGAAAGUGCCACAGAAAACAAACCGCUUCCCCGUUUCAAGGGGCAGCAAGGGUGAAAAGGCGAGGCAAGAGCUCACCGGACGCGCGGCGACGCGCGCGCCUGGCAAACCCCACCCGGAGCAAGAUCGAAUAGGGGAGGUUGACGCGGCCCGCCGACUCCCGGGUACGAUCGCACAGAUAAAUGACUGGGCACGACAGAACCCGGCUUACGAAAUGCUUCCGCU